rnacentral:rRNA from 1 species
UGGCUCAGGAUGAACGCUGGCGGUCUGCUUAACACAUGCAAGUCGAACGGGGGUAGCAAUACCCUAGUGGCGGACGGGUGAGUAACGCGUGAGAAUCUGCCAAAAGGUUCGGGACAACAGAGGGAAACCGCUGCUAAUACCGGAUAUGCCGCAACGUGAAAGGAGAAAUCCACCUUUUGAUGAGCUCGCGUUUGAUUAGCUAGUUGGUAGGGUAAGAGCCUACCAAGGCGACGAUCAAUAGCUGGUCUGAGAGGACGAUCAGCCACACUGGGACUGAGACACGGCCCAGACUCCUACGGGAGGCAGCAGUGGGGAAUUUUCCGCAAUGGGCGAAAGCCUGACGGAGCAAGACCGCGUGAGGGAGGAAGGCUCUUGGGUUGUAAACCUCUUUUCUCAGGGAAUAAGCAAUGAAGGUACCUGAGGAAUCAGCAUCGGCUAACUCCGUGCCAGCCGCCGCGGUAAG